AAUCAACGCUGGCGGCGUGCCUAACACAUGCAAGUCGAGCGAGAAAAGGGGGGCAACUCCCUGAGUACAGCGGCGCACGGGUGAGUAACACGUGGGUAAUCUGCCCUGGAGUGGGGAAUAACACCGGGAAACCGGUGCUAAUACCGCAUACGAUAACGAGGUCUGCGGACUUUGUUAUGAAAGGAGCAAUUCGCUCCAGGAGGAGCCCGCGGCUGAUUAGCUAGUUGGUGGGGUAAUGGCUCACCAAGGCUACGAUCAGUAUCCGGUCUGAGAGGACGGUCGGACACACUGGAACUGAGACACGGUCCAGACUCCUACGGGAGGCAGCAGUGGGGAAUUUUUGGCAAUGGGGGAAACCCUGACCAAGCAACGCCGCGUGGGUGAUGAAGUCUCUUGGGACGUAAAACCCUUUCGACGGGGAAGAAACCGCAAGGUUGACGGUACCCGUAGAAGAAGCCCCGGCUAACUCCGUGCCAGCCGCCGCUGUAAUAC
rnacentral:rRNA from 1 species